CAAACAACUCCAAGGACAUAUUUGAUCAAUUGGAAGUCAAAGUUGGCAAUUGGAAUUAGUCAUUAGACCACGCUUUUCAUCGCGACUAUUCACGUUAAUCUCCCACCCCCAACAAUUUCCGUCGUCGUUCCCGGCGAGCCCUUCCGAUAGACCGGAGGAAUCCAUGAACGUCGGCGUUUAUGAGGUGUGGACCACAUGCCAGGCGCAAAAAUGAGAAAGAAAUCUAAUUCUAGGAGAGUAAACUCCCUACCUCAACAACCUUCCAUGGCUUCUUCCCUCGUUUGUUCCUCUCGUUUUCUUCUCCAUUACAGAAAGAUCUCCGCCCUUGUAUUUUUUAUCCUUGUUGUUUGUUUGAUAAUUGUUUUGAACACCUCGUUGCGAAAGGAAGGCGUGUCUCAAUCAGAAGUUCCCUCGAAUCGACUUUACACAGUCGAAGUGGUCAAUGAGUUCCCUCACGAUCCCGACGCAUUCACUCAGGGACUACUGUAUGCAGAAAAUGACACCCUAUUUGAGUCUACUGGGAUGAAUGGGGCUUCAUCUGUUCGGAAAGUCACUCUGCAGACUGGCAAGGUUAAGGCUAUUCAGAGAAUGCCGUACUCUGAUUUUGGCGAGGGCUUAACUCUUCUUGGUGAUAGGUUUGUGAUCUGAACUAAAAGGUUGAUUCAAGUAACUUGGCGGCAGAGUACUGGUUACAUAUAUGAUCGGCAUAAUCUCAGCAAAUUUGAGAAGUUUCGCCAUGAUAUGCCCGAUGGUUGGGGAUUGGCAACUGAUGGAAAAAUCCUUUAUGGGAGUGAUGGAUCUUCUACACUGUAUCAGAUUGACCCUCAAACUAUGAAAGGUUUUGUCGUCUGAAGUAGUUAAGAAACAAAUCGUAAAUUAUCAAGGUGAUGAAGUACACAGACUCAAUGAACUAGAGUAUGUUUAUGACGAAGUUUGGGCGAAUGUUUGGAUGACUGACUGUAUAGCUAGAAUAUCACAAACUGAUGGCUCAGUUCUUGGAUGGAUUCUUCUCCCCAAUCUGAGAGAAGGAUUGUUACACAAUUUGAAAAAGCAAAUUGAUGUGCUGAAUGGCAUAGCAUGGGAUAGGGAUGGUGACCGUCUUUUUGUCACAGGCAAAUUAUGGCCGAAGCUUUAUGAGAUUAAGUUGCACCCUUUGAAGACACCAUUCAACGGAGACAUCAAGCAGAUGUGCAUGCCCCCGGCAUUUCCAUUUUCAUGAUCCCUGCAGUGGAUUAUUCUUUUUCAAAUUCUGGAUUAUUCUGUUAGUGCAUCGAUUUUUGGGUCUAGUUAGAGAGAGAGAGAGAGAGAGAGCCACAUGCAGAUUUUGGGAGUGUACUGUGUACACAGAUUUUUCUAUAUGUACUUCCUUAAGCCCAGAAAUGAAGCAAAUUGUAGAUACUCAACUCAAUUAUUAUUUGGUUUAGAGUAAAAUGCAACUCAAGUAGAAACAAAAGAUGACGUUUACGAUCGAGUAUACUAUUCAGCUUUUCAUUUGAUUUUUA